GAUGAACGCUGGCUACAGGCUUAACACAUGCAAGUCGUGGGGAAACGGCAUUAUGUGCUUGCACAUUCUGGACGUCGACCGGCGCACGGGUGAGUAUCGCGUAUCCAACCUGCCCCUUACUUGGGGAUACCCCGUUGAAAGACGGCCUAAUACCCGAUGUGUUUCAUUGACGGCAUCCGAUAUGAAACAAAGGUUUUUCCGGUAAGGGAUGGGGAUGCGUCUGAUUAGCUUGUUGGCGGGGCAACGGCCCACCAAGGCGACGAUCAGUAGGGGUUCUGAGAGGAAGGUCCCCCACAUUGGAACUGAGACACGGUCCAAACUCCUACGGGAGGCAGCAGUGAGGAAUAUUGGUCAAUGGACGCAAGUCUGAACCAGCCAAGUAGCGUGCAGGAUGACGGCCCUAUGGGUUGUAAACUGCUUUUAUGUGGGAAUAAAUUGGCGCACGUGUGCGCCACUGCAUGUACCUCAUGAAUAAGGACCGGCUAAUUCCGUGCCAGCAGCCGCGGUAAUACGGAAGGUCCGGGCGUUAUCCGGAUUUAUUGGGUUUAAAGGGAGUGUAGGCGGUCUGUUAAGCGUGUUGUGAAAUUUAGGUGCUCAACAUUUAACUUGCAGCGCGAACUGUCAGACUUGAGUACACGCAGCGCAGGCGGAAUUCAUGGUGUAGCGGUGAAAUGCUUAGAUAUCAUGAGGAACUCCGAUCGCGAAGGCAGCCUGCGGGAGUGUUACUGACGCUUAAGCUCGAAGGUGCGGGUAUCGAACAGG
rnacentral:rRNA from 1 species